AACGAACGCUGGCGGCAGGCUUAACACAUGCAAGUCGAACGCCCCGCAAGGGGAGUGGCAGACGGGUGAGUAACGUGUGGGAAUCUACCCAUCUCUGCGGAAUAGCCCCGGGAAACUGGAAUUAAUACCGCAUACGCCCUACGGGGGUAAGUUUUAUCGGGACUGGAUGAGCCCGCGUUGGAUUAGGUAGUUGGUGGGGUAAAGGCCUACCAAGGCGACGAUCAAUAGCUGGUCUGAGAGGAUGAUCAGCCACAUUGGGACUGAGACACGGCCCAAACUCCUACGGGAGGCAGCAGUGGGGAAUAUUGGACAAUGGGCGCAAGCCUGAUCCAGCCAUGCCGCGUGAGUGAUGAAGGCCUUAGGGUUGUAAAGCUCUUUCACCGAUGAAGAUAAUGACGGUAGUCGGAGAAGAAGCCCCGGCUAACUUCGUGCCAGCCGCCGCCGUAAAAC
rnacentral:rRNA from 1 species